CCUACGGGUGGCUGCAGUGAGGAAUAUUGGUCAAUGGCCGGAAGGCUGAACCAGCCAUGCCGCGUGAAGGUCAGUGCCCUAUGGGCGUUAAACUUCUUUUGUGCGGGAGCAAUAAUGGUCACGUGUGGCCAGACGAGAGUACCGUACGAAUAAGCAUCGGCUAACUCCGUGCCAGCAGCAGCGGUAAUAGGGGGGAUGCAAGCGUUAUCCGGAUGUGAUGGGGUGAAGGGGUGCGUAGGCUGUGAGGUAAGUCAGCGGGGGAAUGCCCCCGCUCAACGGGGUGAAGUGCCAUUGAUACUGCCUUGCUGGAAUGCGGAUGCCGUGGGAGGAAUGUGUGGUGUAGCGGGGAAAUGCAUAGAUAUCACACAGAACACCGAUUGCGAAGGCAUCUCACGAAUCCGCGAUUGACGCUGAUGCACGAAAGCGUGGGUAUCAAACAGGAUUAGAUACCCGAGUAGUC
rnacentral:rRNA from 1 species